rnacentral:rRNA from 1 species
UUAUUGAAUAUUUUUUGGGCAUGAUGGUAACACGCUUAGCGUGGAUGGCACACAAGUUGGUGUCUUCAAACAAACCAACGAGGUAAGCCUCAGAGGCCUCCUGAAGGGCCAUUAUGGCGGAAGACUGGAAACGCAAGUCAGUCUUAAAGUCCUGGGCGAUUUCACGCACAAGACGCUGGAAAGGCAGUUUGCGGAUGAGAAGCUCAGUGCUCUUCUGGUAACGACGGAUCUCACGGAGAGCGACAGUACCAGGCCUGUACCUGUGAGGCUUCUUCACUCCACCGGUGGCAGGGGCUGAUUUGCGAGCUGCCUUGGUGGCCAGCUGCUUGCGAGGGGCCUUUCCUCCAGUGGAUUUACGGGCGGUCUGCUUGGAAAAAAACCAAAAAAGAUGUUGAUACAAAAUAGGAUCUCCCCCACCCCUAGGAUCAAAAAAAGAAGUAUUAAUAUUACGAUCUGUUAACAAUAUAGUAAUUGCACCUGCAAGAACAGGUAAAGAUAAAAGAAGCAAAAUAGCAGUAAUAAAAACAGAUCAAACAAAUAAAGGCACCUGAUCCAUUUGUAUACCAUAAGCACGUAUAUUAAUAAUAGUAGAAAUAAAAUUAAUUGCACCCAAUCUGAGCGGUUUCACGGUCUUUUGACUCUCUCUUCAGAGUGCUUUUCAACUUUCCCUCACGGUACUUGUUUGCUAUCGGUCCUGUGGAAAUAUUUAGCCUUAGAUCGAGUUUACGACCUGCUUAGCGCUGCAUGCUCAAGCAACGCGACUCUCAGGGAAGAGAUCGAGCCCAUAUAACAUUGACACGCGCCCACACGGGUCUUACACCCUCCAUGGACUAUCUCCCGCCGUUAGUUGGGAUGGCCAAUUCGUGGCUUACUUAGAGUUCGCGUGGUUAUAGGGUUUGAAUACGAUCUUUCCCUUUACGACAGUUCCGCCUAUCGAUAAGAUUCCGCCCUAGUUCUAACCCUAAACGAUGCCAACCAUCAAUCCGCGUGUAGCACCUUUCUUAACGGGCUCGGCGGGCAGCUCCUUACUUACGGGAAACCAGAGUCUCUGGGUUCCGGGGGGAGUCUGGUUGCAAAGCUGAAACUUAAAGGAAUUGACGGAAAGGCACCACCAGGCGUGGAGCCUGCGGCUUAAUUUGACUCAACACGGGCCAUCUCACCAGGCCAGCACUCUUGUACGAUUGACAGAUUGAGAGCUCUUUCUCGAUUUAGUGGAUGGUGGUGCAUGGCCGUUCUUAGUUGGUGGAGUGAUCUGUCUGGUUAAUUCCGAUACGUAACGAGACAG